rnacentral:piRNA from 1 species
UGGAGACCUCAAGUUGUUAGAGACCCCAGA